rnacentral:ncRNA from 2 species
CAUGCCUUGAGUGUAGGACCGUU